rnacentral:rRNA from 1 species
UCUGAUGACAUUAGCAAAAGUGAACCACCUGAUACCAUUCCGAACUCAGAAGUGAAACCUUUUAGCGCCGAUGGUAUUGUGGUUUCG